GGCGAGGUAGCUCAGGUGGUUAGAGCGCAGGAUUCAUAACCCUGAGGUCGGGAGUUCAAGUCUCCCUCUCGCUACCA
rnacentral:tRNA from 1 species